CAAAAUGGCAAUUUGGUGAAUAUGACUUAGUUAGAGGGCAAAUGAGACAUUAACCUCUAUUGCAUGGGCUAAGACCAAUUAGGUAAGAGCACUAUUUUUCUAAUUCAGAUUUUUAUGAAAGUGAAAGAGUUAGAAGCACAAAGAGAAAGAACAAUCAAGCCCAACAAGAGCAUUUUCGCAACCUUGAUACAGCUCCACUAAAUCAGUUCGCAUUUAUAGCUUCUGUUUUGAAGGAGAAAAACGAGUUUGAAGUUGGGGCAUGCAUGCUGAAUGUGAUGAAGAAUGGGCUACGGGUUUGAUGAAUUGGGAGUUGGAGUUUUGGUCAAGGGAGGAGCUCAAUUGCAGCAUGUUCAUCAUCCAAAGCCCCAUUGAUGCAAGGUGUGGUUUAGUAGCGUUUGGUCAGUAACAGGUUUGGACUGAAGACUUGGAAGUGGUGUUGGCUCGAAGACCUCGUUGGUUUUGACAUUCCGCUGUGCAAGAUCCAUUGAAGACUCAUGUAUUAUGUUUCUUAGUAGAAUUUCAUGUUGUAUUUUAUA